rnacentral:rRNA from 1 species
CCUACGGGAGGCAGCAGUCGAGAAUCAUUCACAAUGGGGGAAACCCUGAAGCAGCAACGCCGCGUGGAGGAUGAAGGUUUUAGGAUUGUAAACUCCUUUUGUUAGAGAAGAUUAUGACGGUAUCUAACGAAUAAGCACUGGCUAACUCCGUGCCAGCAGCCGCGGUAAUACGGAGGGGGCAAGCGUUACUCGGAAUCACUGGGCGGAAAGAGUGCGUAGGCGGGGGAAUAAGUCAGAUGUGAAAUCCUGUAGCUUAACUACAGAACUGCAUUUGAAACUGGUACUCUGGAGUGUGGGAGAGGUAGGUGGAAUUCUGGGUGUAGGGGUAAAAUCCGUAGAGAUCAAGAGGAAUA